AAAUGUGGGUAGAGUCCUUCCCAGAUCUUUGUUCGCGAAGCCCAGCCAUGAUGACAAGGAAAUAGUGCUGGUACAGAAAUAUCUGGAAUCUAGGGAUAUGACAGACUGUUUGUCUGAAUAAGCAGAAGUGGUGAACUGUAAAGUGCUGCAACACAGCAAAGUAAAAAGUCAGCCAAGGUACCAACAUUAUGCUGGACAUGCCCAUAAUGGCUAAAGAUAGAUUCAGACCUGAAAGUAGGAACAUCACAAUUAUAAAUGUUCCAGUCUUUUUAAUAUCAGAUGAACAUCGCAUAGAACAUGAAUCUAUGUUUCCCUAUCUGAAUGUUCAUGACUUGAAUGCUUCUUAAAUUGUGUCGAGCAGAGUAUAGCCAGAUUCCGCCUGCCUGCAAGUUCCUCUGAGCCACUGCUACAACACAUUCCCUGUCUUCUUCCUCUUCCAUGAGUUGGAAAGGGAUGACCAGAACCCUGAUGUGAAGGAUGGAGGUGCAACAGACUGACCCAGGUGCAAAAGUGGAUGGACAGUGCCUGAAGACAGCCCAACACCAGCCUGUCACAGAUGGAUAAACCCAUCUAUUUGGAUGACUGCAGUAGGAGCUUCAAGUGCAGCAGGGUUACUAGCAGCCUUAAGGAGAAAGGCAGAAGAGGAAGUGACAAUGCUUUCACAGAGCCGGCUGCAAAAUAGAUUGUAAGCAGCUAAAGUAUUGAAACUAACUUUUACUUGGAUUUGGACUGGGACAAAAAUACUGAUGCAUUUUCUUUUUGAAAAUCUUUGCAUUCUCAUGGUAAGCAUUUUUCUCCUUUUCUAUACU